UGGGGAAUAUUGCACAAUGGGCGAAAGCCUGAUGCAGCGACGCCGCGUGAGGGAUGACGGCCUUCGGGUUGUAAACCUCUUUCAGCAGGGACGAAGCGCAAGUGACGGUACCUGCAGAAGAAGCACCGGCUAACUACGUGCCAGCAGCCGCGGUAAUACGUAGGGUGCAAGCGUUGUCCGGAAUUACUGGGCGUAAAGAGUUCGUAGGCGGUUUGUCGCGUCGUUUGUGAAAACCAGCAGCUCAACUGCUGGGUUGCAGGCGAUACGGGCAGACUGGAGUACUGCAGGGGAGACUGGAAUUCCUGGUGUAGCGGUGAAAUGCGCAGAUAUCAGGAGGAACACCGGUGGCGAAGGCGGGGCUCUGGGCAGUAACUGACGCUGAGGAACGAAAGCGUGGGUAGCGAACAGG
rnacentral:rRNA from 1 species